AACGAACGCUGGCGGCAGGCCUAAAACAUGCAAGUCGAGCGGGCAUAGCAAUAUGUCAGCGGCGGACGGGUGAAUAACACGUGGGAACAUGCCCUUUGGUACGGAACAACUCAGGGAAACUUGAGCUAAUACCGUAUGUGCCGGUAACGGGAAAGAUUUAUCGCCAAAGGAUUGGCCCGCGUCCGAUUAGCUAGUUGGUGAGGUAACGGCUCACCAAGGCGACGAUCGGUAGCUGGUUGAGAGAACGAUCAGCCACACUGGGACUGAGACACGGCCCAGACUCCUACGGGAGGCAGCAGUUGGGAAUCUU
rnacentral:rRNA from 1 species